CUCCUCUUAAUAGGUUUCUUUUAUAAUUGCAGCACAUACAUAGUAAUGGAAGCCUCCUGAUAAGAAGCAUGUGGUGCAGAAUAAACAGGCAACUUCAGAAAAGAGAAUUAAAUCAUGACUUCACUUAAUGGACCAUUCAAGUGUGGAGGAACAUCAGAGUGACUGGGAGAGAUUCAGAGCCUGGAGAGACUUAUACGGAGCCUGAAGAAGCUAACAAUCCAUGGACUUUCAUGUUAUUCCCCAGUUUUAUACCAUGUUUAAUGAACCCUCAUGCAUGUUUUUGUAUUUAUCCCCUUGAUUUGUAUUGCCCCGAACAUGUCUGUACUUGCCUUUAAGUUUUCCGGCCAAAAGCUGUUUACCACCUUGUCCUCCCCUGCUUUCCCGCUCAUCCCACACUGAUGGGCUGAUGGGUGCCGCAGUGCAGAGUGAGCUCCCAUUGGUCCCCUUCCCCUAGAUACUCCCAAAUUCCUCCCACCUUUCCCUCAUCCCCCAAUCCCGUAUUUCUCUGACAUGUCAAUCCCAUACUUCACCCUGGUUUCCAGACCUCUCCUCAUCCAAACCCUAUAUAAGUCCUUGUUCCCCUCAAUAAACUGGCCAUUGCACCCUGA